UACGAGGGGGGCGAGCGUUGUUCGGAAUUAUUGGGCGUAAAGGGUGCGUAGGCGGUUCCGCAAGUCCUGUGUGAAAUCUUCGGGCUCAACUCGAAGUCUGCACGGGAAACUGCGGGGCUUGAGUGUGGGAGAGGUGAGUGGAAUUCCCGGUGUAGCGGUGAAAUGCGUAGAUAUCGAGAGGAACACCGGUGGCGAAGGCGGCCAACUGGACGAAUACUGACGCUGAGACUCGAAAGCGUGGGGAGCAAACAGG
rnacentral:rRNA from 1 species